GACGAACGCUGGCGGCGUGCCUAAUACAUGCAGGUUGAGCGCUGAAGGUUGGUACUUGUACCAACUGGAUGAGCAGCGAACGGGUGAGUAACGCGUGGGGAAUCUGCCUUUGAGCGGGGGACAACAUUUGGAAACGAAUGCUAAUACCGCAUAAAAACUUUAAACACAAGUUUUAAGUUUGAAAGAUGCAAUUGCAUCACUCAAAGAUGAUCCCGCGUUGUAUUAGCUAGUUGGUGAGGUAAAGGCUCACCAAGGCGAUGAUACAUAGCCGACCUGAGAGGGUGAUCGGCCACAUUGGGACUGAGACACGGCCCAAACUCCUACGGGAGGCAGCAGUAGGGAAUCUUCGGCAAUGGACGAAAGUCUGACCGGGCAACGCCGCGUGAGUGAAGAAGGUUUUCGGAUCGUAAAACUCUGUUGGUAGAGAAGAACGUUGGUGAGAGUGGAAAGCUCAUCAAGUGACGGUAACUACCCAGAAAGGGACGGCUAACUACGUG
rnacentral:rRNA from 1 species